CAUUCUAUACUUGCUCUAUACAUUUGUCAUUGCAGUAUUGAAUCAGCUGAGGCGAUUAUAUAUCUUAAAAACGACCAAAUUUGGUGCCAUCCAAAGAACUAUAUAGAUUAAUCUGUUGGCAUAUUUAUGAAAUGCUUCUAUAAAGAGUAAUCUGUUGACAUAUUUGGAAACUGGGCAGUUUAUGAACAUUGGCUGUGGUAGAAGUUUCUGACUCUGUAGUCGAAGUCUAACAACAAUGUUUUGGCUAUAUAUUGGAGCACUGCAAAACCCCACAAUACAUUGCCAUCCAUAUUUGUUAUUCAUUUCUUGAUUUGCAGGAUAGUCUAUAUAACAAAGUGAGAUGAUGACAAACAACUAAAAUACAUCGGGUUUAAGUCUAGGGUCAACAGAAUGCUGCUUUCUUGCAUGCAAAUAAUGUGUGAAUAAAAGAAUAUGGAUAUGAUGAUAUGAUAAGAUUGCCUUGUGCUGGACCAAUAAGGAAGUGAAUUUUGUUAGAAAGCGAGUUUGAAUAAGUGAUGGUUGUGGACAAAUUCUUCUGGUGAAAUGGAAAGUUAACUAAGUAUCCAUAAUACAUAUUAUUCUCUGCUCUCUUCCUAUUUUAUUGUUGACUACUACUAUUAAGCUGAAAAUAUAUGAGUUUCCCAUAACCUAAGGCAGCUACCGAAACCAACAAGAGAAGAUGAAAUUUCAUCUUAGGUAUGUGAAAAGGGUAAAUUUGCAGCUAAAAACUGUAACAGGCGCAUUUUAGUAAAUCUUUCCACAGUCCCUUUUUCAUCCCUGUUACAAGGAACAAACAUUUACGUCAUUGCUGAGUGCCAUGGCUGUUUAAAAAAAGUUUCUUAUUUUCUCUGCAUUCUGGGUCAUGAUAUUGUUUGCAAUUUCCUAGAAUAGGUUAAUUCUGCUCUUAAAGGAUGUUGCAUUUGCAUUUAAUAUUUUCUCGACUGCUUUAUUUAUUACAAAACCCAGCACUGGAACCUCUUUUUAGAUUCAUUGCAACCAACCCCUUUUUGUACCAAAUUUUGAUAAUUCAUUCAAAUUAAGCUUUUGAAAGCAUACUUUCAAAACAUUGACGUCCUCGCAGAAUGCACUCUUUCUUCCUCUUUGAUUUAUUUAAUGCAUGGUGACCAAAAGGCCUAAAGUCCCUUUGUGAAGGUGUUCCUAUCUUCUUCAACCAUUGCUUAUACUAUUUGGUGCCCAAUCAAGCUCAAUAAGUGGAAUUCUCCUGGUGUCCCAAAUGAGCAUUUUCAUCUGCUGGUGAGUCAGCCUCCCAAAUAGCUCAAAAACAAAAAGGGAGGGGCUUCAAAGAAAUGUGAAAUAACUUUUACUGCGCCUACCGGGGAAGAGAUCACUAGCAGAAACCAGU